rnacentral:rRNA from 1 species
GACGAACGCUGGCGGCGUGCUUAACACAUGCGAGUCGAACGCUGAAGCCUGGUGCUUGCACUGGGUGGGUGAGUGGCGAACGGGUGAGUAAUACGUGAGUAACCUGCCCUUGACUCUGGGAUAAGCCUGGGAAACUGGGUAUAAUACUGGAUACGACAUGUCACCGCAUGGUGGUGUGUGGAAAGGGGUUUACUGGGUUUGGAUGGGCUCACGGCCUAUCAGCUUGUUGGUGGGGUAAUGGCUCACCAAGGCGACGACGGGUAGCCGGCCUGAGAGGGUGACCGGCCACACUGGGACUGAGACACGGCCCAGACUCCUACGGGAGGCAGCAGUGGGGAAUAUUGCACAAUGGGCGGAAGCCUGAUGCAGCGACGCCGCGUGAGGGAUGACGGCCUUCGGGUUGUAAACCUCUUUCAGCACGGAAGAAGCGAAAGUGACGGUACGUGCAGAAGAAGCGCCGGCUAACUACGUG